ACAACGCUGGCGGCGUGCCUAACACAUGCAAGUCAACUUGACUGAAGGAGCAAUCUGACAGUAGAGUGGCGCAAGGGUGCGUAACGCGUAAGUAACUUGCCCCAAGGUAAGGAAUAACGUCGAGAAAUCGGCGCUAAUACCUCAUAAUGCAGCGGAUCCGCAUGGAUAUGUUGUUAAAGGUUUACCGCCUUGGGAUAGGCUUGCGUCUGAUUAGCUAGUUGGUGUGGUAACGGCACACCAAGGCUACGAUCAGUAACUGGUCUGAGAGGAUGAUCAGUCACACUGGAACUGAGACACGGUCCAGACUCCUACGGGAGGCAGCAGUGAGGAAUAUUGGGCAAUGCUCGAAAGAGUGACCCAGCAACGCCGCGUGGAGGAUGAAGGUAUUCUAUAUCGUAAACUCCUGUGAGAGCAGACGAAAGACAGAUUAUUAAUCUGGAUGACUGUAUGCUCAGAGGAAGCCCCGGCUAACUACGUG
rnacentral:rRNA from 1 species